AUGUACACAGGUCACAGAGUGGUGGAGGCUGACGGCUCGGAGGAGGUACAUGACAAGAUCAUAUUCGGCGCACAUGCACCUGACGUUUUGAGGGUGCUAGGAGACGAAGCAACACACGAGGAGUUGAGGAUCCUGGGUGCUUUCCAAUAUGUCCAGAGCGACAUGUACCUACAUUGUGAUGAAAGCCUUAUGGCAUGGAAUUCGUCGACAUGGAGCACCUGCAACUUCCUGGGAACAACCAGCGCUAGAGAGUUGCACUGCUUUAAUUCGGCGGCUUGGUUGUCGGGAUUGUCUUACUUACAUGAGCAUUGA
rnacentral:rRNA from 1 species